rnacentral:tRNA from 1 species
UGCCCCGUGGUGUAAUGGUAGCACACCGGAUUCUGGUUCCGUUUGUGAGCGUUCGAGUCCUUCCGGGGCAA